rnacentral:rRNA from 1 species
UGGGGAAUAUUGCACAAUGGAGGGAACUCUGAUGCAGCGACGCCGCGUGAACGAAGAAGGCUUUCGAGUCGUAAAGUUCUUUUAUAUGGGAAGAUAAUGACGGUACCAUAAGAAGAAGCCCCGGCUAACUACGUGCCAGCAGCCGCGGUAAUACGUAGGGGGCUAGCGUUGUCCGGAAUCACUGGGCGUAAAGGGUUCGCGGGCGGAAAUGCAAGUCAGGUGUAAAAGGCAGUAGCUUAACUACUGUAAGCAUUUGAAACUGCAUAUCUUGAGAAGAGUAGAGGUAAGUGGAAUUUUUAGUGUAGCGGUGAAAUGCGUAGAUAUUAAAAAGAAUACCGGUGGCGAAGGCGACUUACUGGGCUCAUUCUGACGCUGAGGAACGAAAGCGUGGGUAGCAAACAGG